AUUGAACGCUGGCGGCAGGCCUAACACAUGCAAGUCGAGCGAGCGGCGGACGGGUGAGUAAUGUCUGGGAAACUGCCUGAUGGAGGGGGAUAACUACUGGAAACGGUAGCUAAUACCGCAUACCAUCAGAUGUGCCCAGAUGGGAUUAGCUAGUAGGUGGGGUAACGGAUCACCUAGGCGACGAUCCCUAGCUGGUCUGAGAGGAUGACCAGCAACACUGGAACUGUGACACGGUCCAGACUCUGCCGGGAGGCGUCAGUGGUGAAUAUGGCACAAGGGGCGCAGGACUGGUGCAGCCAGGACGCGGGUGUGAAGAAUGCCUUCGGGUUGUAAAGCACUUUAAGCGGGGAGGCGUUACCCGCAGAAGAAGCACCGGCUAACUCCGUGCCAGCAGCCGCGGUAAUAC
rnacentral:rRNA from 1 species